rnacentral:lncRNA from 1 species
AUAUUUCUGCUGAUAAAAAUACCGCAUGUGCUUCACAUGAUUUUUAUAUUUAAAAGCUUUGUGUUUUUCUUUCUAGGGAACAGGAUUCUCUGGUUAAGACCUGAAAACACAGAGUGUGUUCCCAAGUUACAUGCAAGUUUUGCUGCAUACCUUCAUUAUGAUCAGCACUGGCACUUGAGUGAUGCGCUGCUGAGAAACCGAUUUGCUCUUCCAAGGGCUUGGCAUCACAGGAGACCAAUGGAAAAUGAAGGCAAGUCCACCAAAGUCUCUGAGCUGUGAAGUAAAUUACUGUGCUGAUCCAAGGUGCUUUGACUUCCAUGCGUCAAAACUCUCCAAAUUAGUGGAUAAUCCUUGCCAAGGGUAAGAGUGUAAACGGUCUUAUGGGUUUCCUGACAUCUCAGGGAACAAAAAAUCUCAGCACUUCUGUGUGUCUGUAUGUAAAUAAAUAAGCUAAAGCUUUUAACA